GACGAACGCUGGCGGCGUGCUUAACACAUGCAAGUCGAACGGAAAGGCCCUGCUUUUGUGGGGUGCUCGAGUGGCGAACGGGUGAGUAACACGUGAGUAACCUGCCCUUGACUUUGGGAUAACUUCAGGAAACUGGGGCUAAUACCGGAUAGGAGCUCCUGCUGCAUGGUGGGGGUUGGAAAGUUUCGGCGGUUGGGGAUGGACUCGCGGCUUAUCAGCUUGUUGGUGGGGUAGUGGCUUACCAAGGCGUUGACGGGUAGCCGGCCUGAGAGGGUGACCGGCCACAUUGGGACUGAGAUACGGCCCAGACUCCUACGGGAGGCAGCAGUGGGGAAUAUUGCACAGUGGGCGGAAGCCUGAUGCAGCAACGCCGCGUGCGGGAUGACGGCCUUCGGGUUGUAAACCGCUUUCGCCUGUGACGAAGCGUGAGUGACGGUAAUGGGUAAAGAAGCACCGGCUAACUACGUG
rnacentral:rRNA from 1 species